rnacentral:rRNA from 1 species
CCUACGGGAGGCAGCAGUGAGGAAUAUUGGUCAAUGGACGAGAGUCUGAACCAGCCAAGUAGCGUGAAGGAUGACUGCCCUAUGGGUCGUAAACCUCUUUUAUCUGGGAAUAAAACAGGGCAUGCAUACCCUCUUGUAGGUACCAUAUGAAUAAGGAUUGGCUAACUCCGUGCCAGCAGCCGCGGUAAUACGGAGGAUCCGAGCUUUAUCCAGAUUUUUUGGGGUUAAAGGGAGCGUAGGUGGAUUGUUAAGUCAGUUGUGAAAGUUUGCGGCUUAAACGUAAAAUUGCAGUUGAAACUGGCAGUCUUGAGUACAGUAGAGGUGGGCGGAAUUGGUGGUGUAGCGGUGAAAUGCUUAGAUAUCACGAAGAACUCCGAUUGCGAAGGCAGCUCACUGGACUGCAACUGACACUGAUGCUCGAAAGUGUGGGUAUCAAACAGGAUUAGAUACCCUUGUAGUC